CAUCCUGGCCUACAGCAUCCUUAGAGAAGGUCACAUCCUGGCCUACAGCAUCCUUAGAGAAGGUACAUCCUGGCCUACAGCAUCCUUAGAGAAGGUACAUCCUGGCCUACAGCAUCCUUAGAGAGGUAACACAUCCUGGCCUACAGCAUCCUUAGAGAAGGUAACACAUCCUGGCCUACAGCAUCCUUAGAGAAGGUAACACAUCCUGGCCUACAGCAUCCUUAGAGAAGGUAACACAUCCUGGCCUACAGCAUCCUUAGAGAAGGUACACAUCCUGGCCUACAGCAUCCUUAGAGAAGGUAACACAUCCUGGCC